UCACCCUCGAUGGUGCCCUCGACCUGUCCUCCCUCAGCAGCCUGUGGCAUCCAGACCAGUUCGUGGCCCCUAGGAGGGGAAACUGAGUCCCAGCCCCAGGGUCCUCCCUCGGCUUCACUGGGUGCCCCAUGGAGGAGACAGCCAGGGUGUGUCACCUGACAGGCUCACCAGAACCAGCCAGCAGCUGCUGAGUUUUGGCUCCCGGACCCUGGACUGCUGCCGAGGCUGGGGAUGGCGGCUCCAGAGGUCAUUCCUCCCCCGGAAGACACGCUGGCCUUGGGCCAGGGGACCCUCAGCGACGGAGUCACCCCAACGUUCUGGAGGCUGUGGUUCUGCUUCCUCCUGGGGCUGAGCUGAGCAAGCUCUAGCUCUCGGGCCGAGCGCAAGGAGGGCAGGAGUGAUGUCUCCAACUGUGCUGAGGUCUGCCCUGGGUGCAAGGGCCCUGUGUUUUCAGCGCUGCCGUGUGGCCCGUGGAUGCCACAGGGCUGAGGAGGUGGUGUCCCCAGACUUGCCCCAGCACAGCUGUGGGGGCCACCCGGACACCCACCCCGGCCUCAGUCUCCCAUCCCAGCUGGCCCUGACACGGGUGCAUGUGAUGCCCUCCUGGUCUUGGCCUCUCAGACUCAGCUCAGCCAUGGCCAUCCAGACCCUUGGGCUCCGGUGUCUUCCCAAAGCUCUGAGAAGCACCCCCUUGGGGCAGCCGGACCCCUGACCACCCUCCGAACCUCGGCUGGACUCCCUGUGGCCCAGUCCGGAAGGGUUCUCCUCGGAACAGAGGGCAGAUGAAGCAAGAGUCGGUCCAAGUUCUGCCCUCUGGCACUGGCAGUGCUGUGAGGGCCCAUGGGGCGGCUCAGUGGUCCCCAGGGACCUCAGCCUUCGGGAAAGUGCAGCAGAGGCCUCAAGGCCCCCCGCGCUCAGCUAACGUUGCCCUCGCUCAUCCAGAGCACAGCCCGAGCUGCAGGAGGGCCAGGAGGGCAGAUGCUCCACAGCUCGGACAGCAUCCAUAAGACCUGCGUGGACAAAAUAGCAAAGGCCGGUGUGGGACGGAGAGGACGUGAACGGCGAGUGCUCGGAGAACAAGCACGCCAGCAGCGAACCCAGGGGGACCAGCCCAACAGCCAGUGCUCUGAGACACCGGCCAACGGCAAUGCCCCAUCCUCACCGCGAACGCCACUGUGACGCGUUGACAGUGGAUGCGAAUGCGUGACACAGACAGCGAGUGCCAGUGUGACCGUCACGGCUGAUGCUGAGCACUGCACCGACACACCACAGAAUCUGCAGGCCCAGGGCUCAGCUCCUGCUUGCGGGGCGCAGGCCGGCCCCACCGUCCGACGUACAGACCAGCGUGGGCACCUUAGGCCUCUCCACCCUCCUCUGCCCAGAGCCUGCCACCAAAUGAAUCACAUUCCGGAUGGUGGCUUCAGGUCAGAAAGCUGUCAGGUCACCCAGGUGCCAUGCGAGCCGCUCCCCGGAGACGGCUUUCGGCCUUGGGUUUAUCACAGCGGCUGUUUUCUGUCCGCCAAGCCAAGCCUGGCUUUCAUCUCCCCUUGCACGACGGUCUGCUUCCUCAGCCUCUGGGCUUGUAGUGGUUUUCUUUUCUACUGUCUGAAAUUGAAUGUUUAGUUCAUCUAUUUUCUAUUCUCUCGUUUAUAAUAAAAACAUUUCAGAUGAGA
rnacentral:lncRNA from 1 species